AUAAAAAUCACCUAGAGAUUUUGUUAAGAUGAAAAUUCCAAUUCAGCAGAUCAGGGAUGGGGUCUGAAAUUCUGCCUUUCUAACAAGCUCUGGAUGAUGCUACU
rnacentral:pre_miRNA from 1 species